rnacentral:rRNA from 1 species
UACGAGGGGGGCGAGCGUUGUUCGGAGUUAUUGGGCGUAAAGGGUGCGUAGGCGGCCUGACAAGUCUGAUGUGAAAUCCCUGGGCUCAACCCAGGGCCUGCAUCGGAAACUGUCGGGCUUGAGUACUGGGAGAGGUGAGUGGAAUUUCCGGUGUAGCGGUGAAAUGCGUAGAUAUCGGAAGGAACACCUGUGGCGAAAGCGGCUCACUGGACCAUUACUGACGCUGAGGCACGAAAGCUAGGGGAGCAAACAGG